UGCAGUCGACGAUGAGCCCUUCGGGGUGGAUUAGUGGCGAACGGGUGAGUAACACGUGGGCAAUCUGCCCUUCACUCUGGGACAAGCCCUGGAAACGGGGUCUAAUACCGGAUACCACUCCUGCCUGCAUGGGCGGGGGUUGAAAGCUCCGGCGGUGAAGGAUGAGCCCGCGGCCUAUCAGCUUGUUGGUGGGGUAAUGGCCCACCAAGGCGACGACGGGUAGCCGGCCUGAGAGGGCGACCGGCCACACUGGGACUGAGACACGGCCCAGACUCCUACGGGAGGCAGCAGUGGGGAAUAUUGCACAAUGGGCGAAAGCCUGAUGCAGCGACGCCGCGUGAGGGAUGACGGCCUUCGGGUUGUAAACCUCUUUCAGCAGGGAAGAAGCGAAAGUGACGGUACCUGCAGAAGAAGCGCCGGCUAACUACGUGCCAGCAGCCGCGGUAAUACGUAGGGCGCAAGCGUUGUCCGGAAUUAUUGGGCGUAAAGAGCUCGUAGGCGGCUUGUCACGUCGGAUGUGAAAGCCCGAGGCUUAACCCCGGGUCUGCAGUCGAUACGGGCUAGGCUAGAGUGUCGGUAGGGGAGAUCGGAAUUCCUGGUGUAGCGGUGAAAUGCGCAGAUAUCAGGAGGAACACCGGUGGCGAAGGCGGAUCUCUGGGCCGAUUACUGACGCUGAGGAGCGAAAGCGUGGGGAGCGAACAGGAUUAGAUACCCUGGUAGUCCACGCCGUAAACGGUGGGAACUAGGUGUGGGCAACAUUCCACGUCGUCCGUGCCGCAGCUAACGCAUUAAGUGCCCCGCCUGGGGGAGUACGGCCGCAAGGCUAAAACUCAAAGGAAUUGACGGGGGCCCGCACAAGCGGCGGAGCAUGUGGCUUAAUUCGACGCAACGCGAAGAACCUUACCAAGGCUUGACAUACACCGGAAGCAUUACCCUGGAGACAGGGCCCCCCUUGUGGUCGGUAUACAGGUGCUGCAUGACUGUCGUCAGCUCGUGUCGUGAGAUGUUGGGUUAAGUCCCGCAACGAGCGCAACCCUUGUCCCGUGUUGCCAGCAGGCCCUUGUGGUGCUGGGGACUCACGGGAGACCGCCGGGGUCAACUCGGAGGAAGGUGGGGACGACGUCAAGUCAUCAUGCCCCUUAUGUCUUGGGCUGCACACGUGCUACAAUGGCCGGUACAAUGAGCUGCGAUACCGCGAGGUGGAGCGAAUCUCAAAAAGCCGGUCUCAGUUCGGAUUGGGGUCUGCAACUCGACCCCAUGAAGUCGGAGUCGCUAGUAAUCGCAGAUCAGCAUUGCUGCGGUGAAUACGUUCCCGGGCCUUGUACACACCGCCCGUCACGUCACGAAAGUCGGUAACACCCGAAGCCGGUGGCCCAACCCCUUGUGGGAGGGAGCUGUCGAAGGUGGGACUGGC
rnacentral:rRNA from 1 species